ACAGAACGAUUUAUUUUUAGAUUUUCCCUCUGUCGUUGCAAGUGGUGCUGAAGUCAGGUUGUGCAAGAUCAUCCAGUGUUAAUGACUGUAUGACUAAGGAGAUGCUUGGAGCUGCGGGUUAGUAAAUAUGUUAUCUAGGUUCAUAUUAUUGAUUACUAUUUCGUAUUGUAGUCUAUAAGGCUUACAACUAUCUAUUCAAAUCUAAUUCCAAGUGGAAACAUAUGUUUUAAAAAAUUUUAGAACUUUAAAUUGUUCCAGCCCAUAAUUUAAUUA